rnacentral:misc_RNA from 1 species
CCUUGUGGAGGAGGACGCCGAAGGUGGGGCUAAUGACUGGGGUGAAGUCGUAACAAGGUAGCCGUACCGGAAGGUGCGGCUGGAUCACCUCCUAACAGGGAGACAACAAAAUGUUUAAUAUUAUUAUUUUGUCACCUUAGGUCGAUCGGUAUCUCACGUUUUUAAUUUAUUAAGAAUUUCAUUUCCUAAGUUUUUCUAGGUCACACCCAUUAUUUUUCCUGGGCCAUUAGCUCAGGUGGUUAGAGCGCACCCCUGAUAAGGGUGAGGUCCCUGGUUCAAGUCCAGGAUGGCCCAUAUCUCUAUGUUGGGGGUAUAGCUCAGUUGGUAGAGCGCCUGCUUUGCAAGCAGGAUGUCAGCGGUUCGAGUCCGCUUACCUCCACUGAUUACCACCUCUUCCAUAACUGGUAGAAAGGAAAUGUUUUGAGUUGUGAUCAAAUUCUGAAAGAAUCUAGCUUCCUAAUGAAAUCAUUAAGAUGCUGGACUCAUUGAAUUAAUUUCAUUGUUUUCAGAGAACCUUGACAACUGCAUAGAUUUUUUUUAAAGACAAUAAGCAUCUUUUAAUGAUGCAGAUUUAUUAUUUGUGCGAAUGCAUUAAUAACAAUUCUAUUAAGCUGAUGCUUCAAUUUUUGAAGUUAUUGGUCAAGCUACAAAGGGCUCACGGAGGAUACCUAGGCACACAGAGGC